GCAGCGAAACAACAAAAUGUGAGCCCGCAUUUGUGUUCGACUAUUUGUUUCCAUGUGGUUAUUUGUAUUUCAUAUUGCUCUUCUUAGUCGUGGUUAUGAAGGGUGAUAGUGUCCGUGUGUGUAUUGUGAUCUAGCUGGAUUGACUUCGAAUUGACUUCGAGACAACGGAUUGAGUGGCCGAUGUGCAGCUUUGUUUACCUUCAAGAUCGAGUGCGGUUGAAAGCUUUCUGAAAGCUUCCUGAAAAAUCUCUGAAAGCAACAACAGGACAAAAAAUUGGGUUGGUUGGCUGGACUGAACUUAGCGCGCGAACGCGCUAUGUAUAUAAAAUUGUUGGCAUUCUCCUGAAGGAUCUGCACCUUGAAAAGACCAGCUGAUAAAAAAAUCUACGUCUAUUCUGCACAAUGAGGCUUGUGGACCACCUAAAAGCACCGAUGUAUACUGUGCCUGCCUCUUGAAAUUGCACCAUCUCGUUUUCCUGAACUAACCUAGGUGCUGCAAAAGUACUUGAAUAAUCUACGCGGUAAUUAGUCUGUGCUUAUUUUCACAAAUUGUUUAAUAAUGCUGAUGUUAUGUCUCGCCUCAUUGACAAAAUGGUGAAAUGGACACCGUGUCAUUUAGAACAUCAAACAUGAAACAGCUACGCCAUUACGAAACCAAAUUCACACUUUAUUCCUCGUCAACAACCAUAUGUCCUUACUUUGAGGAGCAUAGUCAUGAUUAUGAUGUGCGAAGUGAUGAGUUCACCAUAAUGUGUUACUGUAGAGACGCGAGCUUUUUCAUGCCCACAAUUUGUAAUAGAGCCAUUCGGUAGCAUUUGUAGCCAGGACUUUACUAUUUAGUGGUAUGCUGAAGCUACUUUCGCAAGAACAAGUGUAUAUAAUCAAAUAUACCAUAAUUUUGAUUGUU